rnacentral:rRNA from 1 species
AUGCAACGCGAAGAACCUUACCUACUCUUGACAUCCAGAGAACUUUCCAGAGAUGGAUUGGUGCCUUCGGGAACUCUGAGACAGGUGCUGCAUGGCUGUCGUCAGCUCGUGUUGUGAAAUGUUGGGUUAAGUCCCGCAACGAGCGCAACCCUUAUCCUUGUUUGCCAGCGAGUAAUGUCGGGAACUCCAGGGAGACUGCCGGUGAUAAACCGGAGGAAGGUGGGGACGACGUCAAGUCAUCAUGGCCCUUACGAGUAGGGCUACACACGUGCUACAAUGGCGCAUACAGAGGGCGGCCAACUUGCGAAAGUGAGCGAAUCCCAAAAAGUGCGUCGUAGUCCGGAUUGGAGUCUGCAACUCGACUCCAUGAAGUCGGAAUCGCUAGUAAUCGUGGAUCAGAAUGCCACGGUGAAUACGUUCCCGGGCCUUGUACACACCGCCCGUCACACCAUGGGAGUGGGCUGCAAAAGAAGUAGGUAGUUUAACCUUCGGGGGGACGCUUACCACUUUGUGGUUCAUGACUGGGGUGAAGUCGUAACAAGGUAGCGCUAGGGGAACCUGGCGCUGGAUCACCUCCUUA